rnacentral:lncRNA from 1 species
AGAGAAACAGUACCUCCACCACCACCACCUGAACCAGUAGCCCCUGUUGUUGAAGCACAACCCAGUUCUUCAGGGGGAACUAAGGUGAAGAUGACGGAGUACUUAAAGUUGGAUGCUCCUAAAUUCAAUACGGGAGAUGAUCCCUUUGAGUAUCUUAGUGCAGUCAGAAUGAUAACAAGUGAGUUGGGAGCAGAUGAGAGUAGGGCCAUUGAGAUGGCAGGGUUCACAUUAAAAUGUAAGAAAGCCAGAGAAUGGUUCAAGAACUAUGUGGACCCCAGAAUAGACAGUAUGACAUGGGAAGAGUU